rnacentral:rRNA from 1 species
AUUGAACGCUGGCGGCAGGCCUAACACAUGCAAGUCGAACGGUAACAGGGAUCAGCUUGCUGAUUCGCUGACGAGUGGCGGACGGGUGAGUAAUGUCUGGGAAACUGCCUGAUGGAGGGGGAUAACUACUGGAAACGGUAGCUAAUACCGCAUAACGUCGCAAGACCAAAGAGGGGGACCUUCGGGCCUCUUGCCAUCGGAUGUGCCCAGAUGGGAUUAGCUAGUAGGUGGGGUAACGACUCACCUAGGCGACGAUCCCUAGCUGGUCUGAGAGGAUGACCAGCCACACUGGAACUGAGACACGGUCCAGACUCCUACGGGAGGCAGCAGUGGGGAAUAUUGCACAAUGGGCGCAAGCCUGAUGCAGCCAUGCCGCGUGUAUGAAGAAGGCCUUCGGGUUGUAAAGUACUUUCAGCGGGGAGGAAGGGAGUAAAGUUAAUACCUUUGCUCAUUGACGUUACCCGCAGAAGAAGCACCGGCUAACUCCGUG